AUAAGGAUUGGGCAAGGAAGGUUAAUUUCCUUCACAGUGCCGCUACCGUAAAGUCGGAAAACCACCUUAU
rnacentral:ncRNA from 2 species